rnacentral:rRNA from 1 species
AAUGAACGCUGGCGGCGUGCCUAAUACAUGCAAGUCGAGCGAACAGAUGAGGCUCUUUCUCCUCUUCAGUUACCGACGGACGAGUAAUUACUAGGUAUCUAACCUACCUAUAAGAAUGGGGUAAAUUCAGGAAACCUGAUCCAACACCCGAUAUGAUGUUGAACCUGAUGGUUCAUUGGUCAAAAACCUAUUUGCUGUCACUUAGUCGUGGUUCCGGGGCGGAUUAGCUAGUUGGUAAGGUAACGGCCUACCAAGGCUACGAUGCGUAGCUGAUCUGAGAGGGUGAUCAGCCACACUGGAACUGAGACACGGUCCAGACUCCUACGGGAGGCAGCAGUGGGGAAUAUUGGACAAUGGGCGAAAGCCUGACCCAGCCACGCCGCGUGAGUGAAGAAGGUCUUCGGAUUGUAAAGCUCUUUUAUUAGGGAGGAAGAGCAGUAAAUGAAUACCUGCAUGUCUUGACGGUACCAACAGAGAAAGCACCGGCUAACUACGUG